rnacentral:misc_RNA from 1 species
ACUCUCUGCAACUGAGGCUGCUGAGAUGAUUCUGAGAGUGGACCAAAUCAUUACUUGUGCACCAAGGAGGAGAGAAGAUAGAAUGUGAAAACUAGGUGUACAUUUUAGCUGGACAAGGACUUGUGUUGUAACUCUCCUUGAUAUUUGCUAUGCUUCAGUAUGGCAUUGAUAUUAGCUGUUGAGUUGCAUUACUGAGGAUUCCCAAAAUUUUUUGAUCGUCUGUUGUGCUGAGGAUGCGACGCCAUUGUUGCCGAAUUCUUACAUUUCGGUAUUAGUAGCGAUUAAAUCUCCAGUGUUUCUGAUACAUUGUGCAUGAUAAUAGACAUUUUUUAUUUGUUGGAAAACAUAAUGGACAUGGUUUUAGUUUCA